UGAGGAAUAUUGGGCAAUGGACGCAAGUCUGACCCAGCCAUGCCGCGUGCAGGAUGACUGCCCUAUGGGUUGUAAACUGCUUUUUUAUGGGAAGAAACCCCCCAACGUGUUGGGGGCUGACGGUACCAUGAGAAUAAGCACCGGCUAACUCCGUGCCAGCAGCCGCGGUAAUACGGAGGGUGCAAGCGUUAUCCGGAUUUAUUGGGUUUAAAGGGUCCGUAGGCGGGGAUCUAAGUCAGUGGUGAAAGCCUGCAGCUCAACUGUAGAAUUGCCAUUGAUACUGGAUUUCUUGAGUACAUUUGAAGUUAGCGGAAUGUGUCAUGUAGCGGUGAAAUGCUUAGAUAUGACACAGAACACCGAUUGCGAAGGCAGCUAACUAAGAUGUCACUGACGCUGAGGGACGAAAGCGUGGGGAUCAAACAGG
rnacentral:rRNA from 1 species